CCUGCCGGAAGCUACCGCUAUUGGAGUCCGAUUNNUANNUGCGAGUCGAGAGCUUUCGGAGCUCGGCAUACUGCUCAGUAACACGUGGGUAACCUGCCCUGUGCUGGGGGAUAACCUCGGGAAACUGAGAACAAUACCCCAUAGUCCACUGCGCCUGGAACGGUGAGUGGAUGAAAGCCCCGGCGGCACAGGAUGGGCCUGCGGCGUAUCAGGUAGUAGGGGGUGNAAAGUACCCUCUAGCCUUCGACGCGUACGGGUUGUGAGAGCAAUAGCCCGGAGAUGGAUUCUGAGACACGAAUCCAGGUCCUACGGGACGCAGCAGUCGCGAAACCUUGACAAUGCGGGGAACCGUGAUCAGGGGACUCCAANNGCCAGGAGUAAGAUCCUGUGCUUUUCUUCUCUCUUCAAAGGAUUAGGAAUAAGAGGUGGGUAAGGACGGUGCCAGCCGCCGCGGUAAUACCGGCGCCUCGAGUGGUAGUCGAUUUUAUUGGGCCUAAAACGNCCGUCGCCGGUCUGGUGCAUUCGUGGGUAAAUCAACNNGCUCAACGGGUUGAAU
rnacentral:rRNA from 1 species